UAAGGUUAUGGUGUUGGGGAAAAUGAUCAAUGGCUCUUUAUGGACUGAAUGAAAAUAGCCUUUCUGAACA